GACGUAGGGCGCAAGCGUUAUCCGGAAUUAUUGGGCGUAAAGAGCUCGUAGGCGGUUUGUCGCGUCUGCCGUGAAAGUCUGGGGCUCAACUCCGGAUCUGCGGUGGGUACGGGCAGACUAGAGUGAUGUAGGGGAGACUGGAAUUCCUGGUGUAGCGGUGAAAUGCGCAGAUAUCAGGAGGAACACCGAUGGCGCAGGCAGGUCGCUGGGCAUUAACUGACGCUGAGGAGCGAAAGCAUGGGGAGCGAACAGG
rnacentral:rRNA from 1 species